rnacentral:lncRNA from 1 species
UUCUGCUGUGAUCCUCUAUCAAUUAUAUCUUUCACAUCUACUUUACUCGGAAAUUCUUGAAACCUCUCAAAACCCAAACCUUCUUCCCACUCAGUAACCACUGGAGGGAUUUCUUUUGCAACACGUGACAGUUCAACAUAGUCGGAAAUAGCACCAAUACCCAUAGAGUUAUCCACGUCGCCCUCAUUGUUCACGCUGUCCAUGUUAUCCAAACCAAUGCGCCAUUUGUCGGCCUCUCCAUCCACAACAUUCUCCACCUGCUCAA